rnacentral:rRNA from 1 species
GUUUACGGCCAUGCUACCCUGGACAAGCGGGAUCCCGUCUGAUCUUGGAAGCUAAGCAGGGUCGGGCCUGGUGAGUACUUGGAUGGAAGACCACCUAGGAAGAACAGGUGCAGUAGGCG